UAACCCUCCAAAAAAUUGUAAUUGGUAAAAAAAUCAUAUAAAAAUUUUAUUUGUAAACUAACCCUCCUUUCGCCACGUAGGCGCCACGUCAGGAUUUUCUUAUAAAGACGGUGAAUCGUUCGCCGUUUUCUCUUAUUUCUUUUAAAGGCGGUGAAUCGUUCACCGCUUUCUCCCAUUUCUUUUAAAACGGUAAAUCAUUCACCGCCUUUCACUUAUUUACUGUUUCUUUCUAUAUCUCAUAUAAUCUUAACAACUUUUAAAUCCUAAUAAUUUAUCCAUAUAAUUUCAUAUAAAAGCAGUUAAGAUUAUAUGAAAUUAUAUAGAUAAAUUAUUAGAAUUUAAAAGUUGUUAAGAUUAUAUAUAAUUUGUUAGAAUUUUUAUGUGAUUGUUAGGAUUAUAUAUGGAAUAUAGAAAAUAACAGUAAAUAAGUUAUGGGAGAAAGCGGUGAAUGAUUCACCGUCUUUAAAAGAAAUAGGAGAAGACGGUGAACGAUUCACCGUCUUUAAAAAAAAUGAAAAACGUGAUGAACGAUUUACCGCCUUUAAAAAAAUUCUAACGUGGCGCCGACGUGACGAAAAGAGGGUUAAUUUUACAAAUAAAAUUUUGAGUGGAUUAUUUCGCAAAUUUUAAAAUUUUAGAGGAUUAUUUUAUAAAAAAAUCCGAGAGGAGCUAAAAACGUGUACUAGCCUGGACCGCCUUGUGGUCCAGAAGUACACGAAAAGAGCCAAAAGAGGGUAACUGCAGCACGAGAAAAUGCAGCACUAGUACUGCACCGUCCCCCAAGUUAGGACGGAUAGCUGGCGACUUAUUGAUGACGAGCGAUUGGGCGGAAAAAAUCUAGAAUAAAUCAAUUAUAUGCACGUUCUUAGUCAAUAAAAUUAAUUUUUUUUAAAUUCAUUCCUCGGAUCAUAAUUAAUAAAAAGUAAUUUUACUAUAUUUUUAAAAUAAUCUAUAAUUAACAUAGAGUCCGGCUGCUAUGCUAUCGAUAGCACCAAGCACUUAGUGCUAUCAAGUUUUCUGCCGUUAGAUUAAUCAUUUUGAUUAUUUUUACCCGUUAAAUUAUACUAUUUAACCAACUACCUGCUCAACUCUAGAGGGCCCACAUCAUUCUAACCACACAUCUCUUAAUCCAAUGACCAAAAACUUGAUAGCACUAAUGAUUUUGUACUAUUAAUAGUAUGGUAACCUCGUGUGAUAUAAUAAACUUUCUUUGUUGGAAGGGGGUGGUAGGGG
rnacentral:lncRNA from 1 species